AGAGCGAACGCUGGCGGCAGGCUUAACACAUGCAAGUCGAGCGGGCGUAGCAAUACGUCAGCGGCAGACGGGUGAGUAACGCGUGGGAACGUACCUUUUGGUUCGGAACAACCCAGGGAAACUUGGGCUAAUACCGGAUAAGCCCUUACGGGGAAAGAUUUAUCGCCGAAAGAUCGGCCCGCGUCUGAUUAGCUAGUUGGUGAGGUAAUGGCUCACCAAGGCGACGAUCAGUAGCUGGUCUGAGAGGAUGAUCAGCCACAUUGGGACUGAGACACGGCCCAAACUCCUACGGGAGGCAGCAGUGGGGAAUAUUGGACAAUGGGCGCAAGCCUGAUCCAGCCAUGCCGCGUGAGUGAUGAAGGCCUUAGGGUUGUAAAGCUCUUUUGUGCGGGAAGAUAAUGACGGUACCGCAAGAAUAAGCCCGGCUAACUUCGCGCCAGCAGCCGC
rnacentral:rRNA from 1 species